GCUUUCCCUCCAGAGUGGAUCCUGAGUACGGCGGAACACGUGAAAUUCCGUCGGAAUCCGGGAGGACCAUCUCCCAAGGCUAAAUACUCCCUAGUGACCGAUAGUGAACCAGUACCGUGAGGGAAAGGUGAAAAGCACCCCGGAAGGGGAGUGAAACAGUUCCUGAAACCGUGUGCCUACAAGUAGUUAGAGCCCGUUAAUGGGUGAUAGCGUGCCUUUUGUAGAAUGAACCGGCGAGUUACGAUUUGUUGCAAGGUUAAGCGGAAAAAGCGGAGCCGUAGCGAAAGCGAGUCUGAAUAGGGCGCAUAAGUAACAGGUCGUAGACCCGAAACCAGGUGAUCUACCCAUGUCCAGGAUGAAGGUAAGGUAAUACUUACUGGAGGUCCGAACCCACGCACGUUGAAAAGUGCGGGGAUGAGGUGUGGGUAGCGGAGAAAUUCCAAUCGAACUUGGAGAUAGCUGGUUCUCUCCGAAAUAGCUUUAGGGCUAGCCUCGAGGUAAAGAGUCAUGGAGGUAGAGCACUGUUUGGACUAGGGGCCCUUCUCGGGUUACCGAAUUCAGAUAAACUCCGAAUGCCAUGUACUUAUACUCGGGAGUCAGACUGCGAGUGAUAAGAUCCGUAGUCGAAAGGGAAACAGCCCAGACCACCAGUUAAGGUCCCCAAAUAUAUGUUAAGUGGAAAAGGAUGUGGGGUUGCUUAGACAACCAGGAUGUUGGCUUAGAAGCAGCCACCAUUGAAAGAGUGCGUAAUAGCUCACUGGUCGAGUGACCCCGCGCCGAAAAUGUACCGGGGCUAAACAUAUUACCGAAACUGUGGAUGAACCUCUUUAGAGGUUCGUGGUAGGAGAGCGUUCUAAGGGCGGUGAAGUCAGACCGGAAGGACUGGUGGAGCGCUUAGAAGUGAGAAUGCCGGUAUGAGUAGCGAAAGAAGGGUGAGAAUCCCUUCCACCGAAUAUCUAAGGUUUCCUGAGGAAGGCUCGUCCGCUCAGGGUUAGUCGGGACCUAAGCCGAGGCCGAUAGGCGUAGGCGAUGGACAACAGGUAGAGAUUCCUGUACCAGUGCUAAUUGUUUAACCGAUGGGGUGACACAGAAGGAUAGGGAAUCGCACGAAUGGAAAUGUGCGUCCAAGCAGUGAGUGUGAGAAGUAGGCAAAUCCGCUUCUCGCGAAGCAUGAGCUGUGAUGGGGAAGGAAAUUAAGUACGGAAGUUCCUGAUUUCACGCUGUCAAGAAAAGCCUCUAGGAAGAGUAGUACUGCCCGUACCGCAAACCGACACAGGUAGAUGAGGAGAGAAUCCUAAGGUGAGCGAGAGAACUCUCGUUAAGGAACUCGGCAAAAUGACCCCGUAACUUCGGGAGAAGGGGUGCUCUAUUAGGGUGCAAGCCCGAGAGAGCCGCAGUGAAUAGGCCCAGGCGACUGUUUAGCAAAAACACAGGUCUCUGCAAAACCGUAAGGUGACGUAUAGGGGCUGACGCCUGCCCGGUGCUGGAAGGUUAAGAGGAGUGCUUAGCUUCGGCGAAGGUACGAAUUGAAGCCCCAGUAAACGGCGGCCGUAACUAUAACGGUCCUAAGGUAGCGAAAUUCCUUGUCGGGUAAGUUCCGACCCGCACGAAAGGCGCAACGAUCUGGGCACUGUCUCAACGAGAGACUCGGUGAAAUUAUAGUACCUGUGAAGAUGCAGGUUACCCGCGACAGGACGGAAAGACCCCGUGGAGCUUUACUGCAACCUGAUAUGGAAUGUUUGUACCGCUUGUACAGGAUAGGUAGGAGCCGAAGAGACGUGUGCGCUAGCAUACGAGGAGGCAAUGGUGGGAUACUACCCUGGCUGUAUGACCAUUCUAACCCGCCACGCUUAGCGCGUGGGGAGACAGUGUCAGGUGGGCAGUUUGACUGGGGCGGUCGCCUCCUAAAGAGUAACGGAGGCGCCCAAAGGUUCCCUCAGAAUGGAUGGAAAUCAUUCGCAGAGUGUAAAGGCACAAGGGAGCUUGACUGCGAGACUGACAAGUCGAGCAGGGACGAAAGUCGGGCUUAGUGAUCCGGUGGUUCCGCAUGGAAGGGCCAUCGCUCAACGGAUAAAAGCUACCCCGGGGAUAACAGGCUUAUCUCCCCCAAGAGUCCACAUCGACGGGGAGGUUUGGCACCUCGAUGUCGGCUCGUCGCAUCCUGGGGCUGUAGUCGGUCCCAAGGGUUGGGCUGUUCGCCCAUUAAAGCGG
rnacentral:rRNA from 1 species